rnacentral:rRNA from 1 species
AUAUUAAUAAGCGGAGGAAAAGAAACCAACAGGGAUUCCCCUAGUAACGGCGAGUGAAGCGGGAAUAGCUCAGAUUUGAAAUCGAGGCGGCUUGCGCCGUUCUUGAAUUGUAAUUUGAUGAGGCACGUUCGGCGGCGGCCCGGAUCCAAGUCCUCUGGAAAGGGGCGUCAUGGAGGGUGAUAAUCCCGUCCGUGGUCCGAGAGAGCCUGCUCGUCAUCCUGUGAACGCGCUUCGGAGAGUCGGGUUGUUUGGGAUUGCAGCCCAAAGCGGGUGGUAAACUCCAUCUAAGGCUAAAUACUGGCGAGAGACCGAUAGCGAACAAGUACCGUGAGGGAAAGUUGAAAAGCACUCUGAAGAGAGAGUCAAACAGUACGUGAAAUUGCCAACAGGGAAACGAUGGGCACCAGUACGCGCCGCGGUAAAAUCAAGCAUGGUGCGCCGUGCCGGGCGUGCCUGUCCCGAGUCUCUCGUAGGCCGGGCGGUGCGUCGUGGCGCAGCGUGCAGCGCUGUACUUUUACCUGGGGCGGGUCAACGUCGGUUAUGCGCGGGCGACGACGGUGUCGGCAAGGUGCCAGCUAUUUCGGUGGCUGGCCUUAUAGGCCGAUGCAG